GGGUUGUGAGGUUAAGCGACUAAGCGUACACGGUGGAUGCCCUGGCAGUCAGAGGCGAUGAAGGGCGUGCUAAUCUGCGAUAAGCGCCGGUAAGGUGAUAUGAACCGUUAUAACCGGCGAUACCCGAAUGGGGAAACCCAGUGUGAUUCGUCACACUAUCAUUAACUGAAUCCAUAGGUUAAUGAGGCGAACCGGGGGAACUGAAACAUCUAAGUACCCCGAGGAAAAGAAAUCAACCGAGAUUCCCCCAGUAGCGGCGAGCGAACGGGGAGGAGCCCAGAGCCUGAAUCAGCAUGUGUGUUAGUGGAAGCGUCUGGAAAGGCGCGCGAUACAGGGUGACAGCCCCGUACACAAAAGCGCAUGUGUUGUGAGCUCGAUGAGUAGGGCGGGACACGUGGUAUCCUGUCUGAAUAUGGGGGGACCAUCCUCCAAGGCUAAAUACUCCUGACUGACCGAUAGUGAACCAGUACCGUGAGGGAAAGGCGAAAAGAACCCCGGCGAGGGGAGUGAAAAAGAACCUGAAACCGUGUACGUACAAGCAGUGGGAGCACCCUUUGGGGUGUGACUGCGUACCUUUUGUAUAAUGGGUCAGCGACUUAUAUUCUGUAGCAAGGUUAACCGAAUAGGGGAGCCGGAGGGAAACCGAGUCUUAAUUGGGCGUUAAGUUGCAGGGUAUAGACCCGAAACCCGGUGAUCUAGCCAUGGGCAGGUUGAAGGUUGGGUAACACUAACUGGAGGACCGAACCGACUAAUGUUGAAAAAUUAGCGGAUGACCUGUGGCUGGGGGUGAAAGGCCAAUCAAACCGGGAGAUAGCUGGUUCUCCCCGAAAGCUAUUUAGGUAGCGCCUCGUGAAUUCAUCUCCGGGGGUAGAGCACUGUUUCGGCUAGGGGGCCAUCCCGGCUUACCAACCCGAUGCAAACUGCGAAUACCGGAGAAUGUUAUCACGGGAGACACACGGCGGGUGCUAACGUCCGUCGUGAAGAGGGAAACAACCCAGACCGCCAGCUAAGGUCCCAAAGUCAUGGUUAAGUGGGAAACGAUGUGGGAAGGCCCAGACAGCCAGGAUGUUGGCUUAGAAGCAGCCAUCAUUUAAAGAAAGCGUAAUAGCUCACUGGUCGAGUCGGCCUGCGCGGAAGAUGUAACGGGGCUAAACCAUGCACCGAAGCUGCGGCAGCGACACUGUGUGUUGUUGGGUAGGGGAGCGUUCUGUAAGCCUGUGAAGGUGUGUCGUGAGGCAUGCUGGAGGUAUCAGAAGUGCGAAUGCUGACAUAAGUAACGAUAAAGCGGGUGAAAAGCCCGCUCGCCGGAAGACCAAGGGUUCCUGUCCAACGUUAAUCGGGGCAGGGUGAGUCGACCCCUAAGGCGAGGCCGAAAGGCGUAGUCGAUGGGAAACGGGUUAAUAUUCCCGUACUUGGUGUUACUGCGAAGGGGGGACGGAGAAGGCUAUGUUGGCCGGGCGACGGUUGUCCCGGUUUAAGCGUGUAGGUGUGUGUUCCAGGUAAAUCCGGUUCACUUUAACACUGAGGCGUGACGACGAGGCACUACGGUGCUGAAGCAACAAAUGCCCUGCUUCCAGGAAAAGCCUCUAAGCAUCAGGUAACAUCAAAUCGUACCCCAAACCGACACAGGUGGUCAGGUAGAGAAUACCAAGGCGCUUGAGAGAACUCGGGUGAAGGAACUAGGCAAAAUGGUGCCGUAACUUCGGGAGAAGGCACGCUGACACGUAGGUGAAGUGAUUUACUCAUGGAGCUGAAGUCAGUCGAAGAUACCAGCUGGCUGCAACUGUUUAUUAAAAACACAGCACUGUGCAAACACGAAAGUGGACGUAUACGGUGUGACGCCUGCCCGGUGCCGGAAGGUUAAUUGAUGGGGUCAGCGCAAGCGAAGCUCCUGAUCGAAGCCCCGGUAAACGGCGGCCGUAACUAUAACGGUCCUAAGGUAGCGAAAUUCCUUGUCGGGUAAGUUCCGACCUGCACGAAUGGCGUAAUGAUGGCCAGGCUGUCUCCACCCGAGACUCAGUGAAAUUGAACUCGCUGUGAAGAUGCAGUGUACCCGCGGCAAGACGGAAAGACCCCGUGAACCUUUACUAUAGCUUGACACUGAACAUUGAGCCUUGAUGUGUAGGAUAGGUGGGAGGCUUUGAAGCGUGGACGCCAGUCUGCGUGGAGCCGACCUUGAAAUACCACCCUUUAAUGUUUGAUGUUCUAACGUGGACCCGUGAUCCGGGUUGCGGACAGUGUCUGGUGGGUAGUUUGACUGGGGCGGUCUCCUCCUAAAGAGUAACGGAGGAGCACGAAGGUUGGCUAAUCCUGGUCGGACAUCAGGAGGUUAGUGCAAUGGCAUAAGCCAGCUUGACUGCGAGCGUGACGGCGCGAGCAGGUGCGAAAGCAGGUCAUAGUGAUCCGGUGGUUCUGAAUGGAAGGGCCAUCGCUCAACGGAUAAAAGGUACUCCGGGGAUAACAGGCUGAUACCGCCCAAGAGUUCAUAUCGACGGCGGUGUUUGGCACCUCGAUGUCGGCUCAUCACAUCCUGGGGCUGAAGUAGGUCCCAAGGGUAUGGCUGUUCGCCAUUUAAAGUGGUACGCGAGCUGGGUUUAGAACGUCGUGAGACAGUUCGGUCCCUAUCUGCCGUGGGCGCUGGAGAACUGAGGGGGGCUGCUCCUAGUACGAGAGGACCGGAGUGGACGCAUCACUGGUGUUCGGGUUGUCAUGCCAAUGGCACUGCCCGGUAGCUAAAUGCGGAAGAGAUAAGUGCUGAAAGCAUCUAAGCACGAAACUUGCCCCGAGAUGAGUUCUCCCUGAGACUUAAAGUCUCCUGAAGGAACGUUGAAGACGACGACGUUGAUAGGCCGGGUGUGUAAGCGCAGCGAUGCGUUGAGCUAACCGGUACUAAUGAACCGUGAGGCUUAACCUUACAACGCCGAAG
rnacentral:rRNA from 2 species